GACGAACGCUGGCGGCGCGCCUAACACAUGCAAGUCGAACGAGAGAGAGGAAGCUUGCUUCCUCAAUCGAGUGGCGAACGGGUGAGUAACGCGUGAGGAACCUGCCUCAAAGAGGGGGACAACAGUUGGAAACGACUGCUAAUACCGCAUAAGCCCACGGCUCGGCAUCGAGCAGAGGGAAAAGGAGCAAUCCGCUUUGAGAUGGCCUCGCGUCCGAUUAGCUAGUUGGUGAGGUAAUGGCCCACCAAGGCAACGAUCGGUAGCCGGACUGAGAGGUUGAACGGCCACAUUGGGACUGAGACACGGCCCAGACUCCUACGGGAGGCAGCAGUGGGGAAUAUUGCACAAUGGGGGAAACCCUGAUGCAGCGACGCCGCGUGGAGGAAGAAGGUCUUCGGAUUGUAAACUCCUGUUGUUGAGGAAGAUAAUGACGGUACUCAACA
rnacentral:rRNA from 1 species